rnacentral:rRNA from 1 species
UACGGAGGGUGCAAGCGUUGUUCGGAUUGAUUGGGCGUAAAGCGCACGUAGGCGGGCUCAUAAGUCGAAUGUGAAAGCCCUGGGCUUAACCUGGGAAUUGCAUCCGAAACUAUGGGUCUUUGAAUGCUUAAGAGGUUGGUGGAAUGUCUGGUGUAGGAGUGAAAUCCGUAGAUAUCAGAUGGAAUAUCGGAGGCGAAGGCGGCCGACUGGUGAUGCAUUGACGCUGAGGUGCGAAAGUGCGGGGAGCAAACAGG